GAUGAACGCUGGCGGCGUGCCUAAUACAUGCAAGUCGAGCGAACAGAUGAGGAGCUUGCUCCUCUGACGUUAGCGGCGGACGGGUGAGUAACACGUGGAUAACCUACCUAUAAGACUGGGAUAACUUCGGGAAACCGGAGCUAAUACCGGAUAAUAUAUUGAACCGCAUGGUUCAAUAGUGAAAGACGGUUUUGCUGUCACUUAUAGAUGGAUCCGCGCCGCAUUAGCUAGUUGGUAAGGUAACGGCUUACCAAGGCAACGAUGCGUAGCCGACCUGAGAGGGUGAUAGGCCACACGAGAACUGAGACACGGUCCAGACUCCUACGGGAGGCAGCAGUAGGGAAUCUUCUGCAAUGGGCGAAAGCAUGACGGAGCAACGCCGCGUGAGUGAUGAAGGUCUUCGGAUCGUAAAACUCUGUUAUGAGGGAAGAACAAAUGUGUAAGUAACUAUGCACGUCUUGACGGUACCUAAUCAGAAAGCCACGGCUAACUACGUG
rnacentral:rRNA from 1 species